CCUACGGGAGGCUGCAGUAGGGAAUCUUCCACAAUGGGCGAAAGCCUGAUGGAGCAACGCCGCGUGGGUGAAGAAGGUCUUCGGAACGUAAAACCCUGUUGUUAGAGAAGAAAGUGCGUGAGAGUAACUGUUCACGUUUCGACGGUAUCUAACCAGAAAGCCAUGGCUAACUACGUGCCAGCAGCCGCGGUAAUCCGUAGGUGGCAAGCGUUAUCCGGAUUUAUUGGGCGUAAAGGGAACGCAGGCGGUCUUUUAAGUCUGAUGUGAAAGCCUUCGGCUUAACCGGAGUAGUGCAUUGGAAACUGGGAGACUUGAGUGCAGGAGAGGAGAGUGGAACUCCAUGUGUAGCGGUGAAAUGCGUAGAUAUAAGGAAGAACACCAGUGGCGAAAGCGGCUCACUGGUCUGUAACUGACGCUGAGGUUCGAAAGCGUGGGUAGCAAACAGGAUUAGAUACCCCUGUAGUC
rnacentral:rRNA from 1 species